AAGUCGUAACAAGGUUUCCGUAGGUGAACCUGCGGAAGGAUCAUUAACGAGUUGCGUUCGGGGUUGUUGCUGGCUCUACUCGAGCAUGUGCACGCCUCGUAUCCACUUCAACCUCACCUGUGCACUUCAGAGGACCGCUCGGUCCUCUUUUACACACAAACCUUUACACUGUCAUAGUAGAACGUUAUGUAUUAAACAAAUACAACUUUCAACAACGGAUCUCUUGGCUCUCGCAUCGAUGAAGAACGCAGCGAAAUGCGAUAAGUAAUGUGAAUUGCAGAAUUCAGUGAAUCAUCGAAUCUUUGAACGCACCUUGCGCUCCUUGGUAUUCCGAGGAGCAUGCCUGUUUGAGUGUCGUGUAACUCUCAAUCCCGUCUGGUUUUGAAUCGGACGUGGAUUGGAUUUGGGAGUCUGCUGUGCCCUUUCGGGUUCGGCUCUCCUUGAAUGCAUUAGCUCGGUCACGUAGUUGCCCGACGGUUCACGGUGUGAUAGUUUAACUUCAUCGCCGUUCUGACCGCUCGGUGCCUGUGCUUGCCGGCUUCUAAUCCGUGUCUUUCAGACGCAUUUACUUUGACGCUUGACCUCAAAUCAGGUAGGAUUACCCGCUGAACUUAA
rnacentral:rRNA from 1 species